rnacentral:misc_RNA from 1 species
GCAAGAAGUGCGUGCGGCCGCGCGCCUGCAGACGUGCGUGCAUGAAAAGAUCAAAGAACGCACGUAAACGUAUACAGUGUUCAUGGGCCGUCGAUCGUUUCACUACGGCGCCAAAUGAGCUGGCGAAGCACACACACACACACACAUACACACUCACUCUCGCCACCAAGUCCGUCUUUUGCUUGGCCGUGGGACUACGCCUUCCGUCGCGAACGAGGCUGACACAAUUCCUGAAGCGACAGCUCCGGCAUAAAGGGCCGUCAUAGAUUUUAUCGCUACUGUAGAGAGGUACGUAAUCAAGACACCAAGAGCUCAUUCGUGCAUAACAGCGGCUUAACCGCAGUCCAACGUGUGAUUGUGACUGCGUGUGUACGCGCGUGCAUCGCCCUUUUGCUUUCCUCCCUUCCCCCCAGUCUCUCAGUCGGCCACCUGCUGCCUCUCCGCUUUUUCGGCGAUGUUGCGUAUCACCGGUUUGCGGUGCAGCGUGGGGCGGGCGAAGGUAUUCGAAAUCUUCUGCCGCGAGCAGCUUCUCACGAACAUGUCUCUUCGCGAGCUAACACACACGGAGCGGCGCAGGGCGAUGUCUCAGCUCUUCAAAAAGCUCUCCGAAGAACAACUGCUAGCGCUGAAGCAGCAGGCGUCCAUCGAGCAGCUGCGCCAGGAAGCACUGGAGCGCGCAGCUGCCUACUUCAAGCCCCUCACCACCUACGAGCUCUUCGCGCGUGAGCAGAAGGACAACCCCGCUUUUACCGGCGCCAGUCCUCGUGAGAAAGAGGUGAAACUGCUGCAAAUUUACGAGUCGCUACCGGAGAACGCCAGGAAGGCGAUAGAGAGGCGCACUGAGCAGUACAACAACGCCCACUCCAUGAAGCCAGCGACACCGGCUCUGCCGGUUAUACCUGUGCGAAAGAAGCCGACCGCGCCCGCCUCGGGCUCAUCGUCGAAGACGAAAAAGAAGGCGCCAAAGUCACGGAGGACGGCGCGCAGGAAAUUAGCCGAGGAAGCUGCGAUGGACGAGGUCACAGAGACAAGCGCAGACGGGUCGCUCGCUAUCAAGAAGAGAGCUUCCCAGCGGGGUGUAGGGUCGCCUUACGCGGUGUUUGUGAAGGAGCACAUGGCCUCCCUGCACCACCUGGCGCCAAAGGAUCGAAUGCGCGUUAUUGGCGAGCGGUGGCGCUCGCUCACAAAAGAAGAGCGGCAGCUCCGGCUACAGGCAGGGAAAGCCAAGCUGGCGGAGGUGCUGGCCGCGAAAGCGCAGGCAGCAGAAACAGCGGAGUCGAAGUCGCCACAGACGCUGAGUGGGGCGGCCCCCGCAGCCUUGUCCUCACCGCCCGCGCCUCCGACGAACGCGGCAGAUAGCACAAGCACCCAGGCUGCGUCCACGAUCACUAGCUCGCUAACACAGCAGCAGCCGACCCCGCCAGCAGGGGUCAACAGCUCCGCGGCCGUUACCGCAUCCCCCCGACCACCGUUGGCUUCACAGCCAAUCACCUUUUAGCGUCUCGCUACUCGAUUUUUUCGCCUAGAGCAAGUUGAAGAGCCAAUGAAUCCACCAGCGCGCUGCGCUGCUCCGUUGCAGGUUCGGAGGCAGCGCCAAACCUUCUGUGCGACCAGUUUGACAAGCGCCUUCGAAUUUUCACGAGUGUUUCUUGUUCUGCACCCGCCUUUCUUCACUGCCGACGCGCUGUAGCAGUGAUGUAGCUUCUCUGAUGAAUCUCUUUUUCUCUUGUCGUGAUUCUCGUUUUUGGUUCGUGCUCUGCGCAUGUCGUGGCUCACUAGUCGUGCACGCGCCUCGGAGCGCCCCUCUGUUUUGCUCUUUGCGAUUCCAUUCUUGUUUCACAAGCGAACGUUGCCUCGAUUGGCGGCUUGCCUGCGAGGACGUGCACGGCCACCUGCGCUCCGCCAUUCUGUCAUGCAGGUAGAGGCUCGAAGAGGAGUCCGAGGGCGGCUAGGAAAGGGCCAUGCUUCACUUCGGAUGUUUGUGACUUCGCGUGGCAGCGUUCACUCUGCAGUCCCAUUACACGCUAGGAGGAUCAGCGAAGCUAUGGCAAGUCUUCCCCUUAGACAUCUGCUACUGUGCCGAACGGUGAGCACCGCCUCCCCCUCGACGGGCGAGUGGUCGGGUAGCGACUGAUUCCUUUGACCUCCUCCCUCGCGUCUUUGCAUGGUUAGCGCCCCUUCACCGGUAUCGUUGCCCUUUUUGACUGUUUCUCCUCUCUCUUGUCUUUUCGACACCUCCUUC